rnacentral:lncRNA from 1 species
GCAACAAGCCUCUAUCCAGAGCUCAGAAACUGAAAAAAAUAUAUUACAUUUUUCUUAUACAGGCAUACCUUGGAUAUAUUGGAAGGGAGAGGCUAAAAAUCUCUCAUGAAAGCACCAGUAUCUGAGUGCUGACCACGGUAGGCUUCUGCGCUUACAGAGGAGCUGCAUCACAGAUGAGAGAAAUACAACCAAGACUUCAACUACAAUUGAGCAGAAAGCCUCCCAUAAACAUGAAGACAAUUCGUAACCAGAGUUUAAGUUUUAUAAAGGUGUCUAAAAAUAUCUUAUUUUGAAUCAUGCAAAAGUGAUCCAGUCUGGAAGCAUUGUAAAAAUAAUGCUUCCUUCCCAGGCUGGGUAGUUUGUAAAACCCUAGAGACUAGAAUUUCCUCAAGCCUAUUUUAUCCUCUUUAUUCUGGAGAAGAAAACAAAUCAAGAAAUCGAAACACUUGACCUUGGAAAGGAUCUCAUCCUUUGUUACAGACUGGCUGACUCUGAAUAUAUCAGGAAUGUACUUCCUAGACCCCAGGACUCAAAUAUAACCAGAGUGACAGAUAGGGCAGGUCUGAGAGAAGUAGCAAACGUACUUCAUCUUAGGGUCAGAAAGAAACAUGCUGGUAUAAUUCUAACUUAGAAAAUAACCAGGUAAGGGGUCUUGUAAACUUCAUACAAUGCUGCUGCCUCUGAGUUAUUAAAAAAAUUACUAACAGGCUUCUGAUCAACUAAAGGAAUAAAAUUAGGUGUUCAAAGGAGAAAAAAAAAAAAAAAAAAAAAAAAAAAAAAAAAAAAAAAAAAAAA